UGCACUUGCCCUAAAAAUGUGGCUUCAGUCCACUGGCUUCGUUUAUUGGUUUCCUUGCUUUGGGGAAUAACUAUGAUCUUCUUGUAAAUGUAUCUGGGACACGAGGACGUGAGUCCAGGACACACCAGGUGUCGGUGGCCUCCCUGGGACAAGUGCACGGGAUCUCCGAGGCUGCUGUUAGGGCCGCUGCAGCCAGGCACCUGAGCUGUGACACCUACGCUAGAGGUCCCACGCUAGAGGUCCCGUCCAUCCCAGUCCCCCCCCGCCCCUUCAGUCGCAGCCUCCAUCUGGCCUGGAGGCCCGGCUGCUGUGGGAAGAACAGACCCGAGGAAGGAGCCUGGCACAGAGGUUCGGCCAGGCUUUGGCAACCGGCACCCCUAGGUUCUGAUCGGGGCUCCCUGGAGACGCAGCUGAUUCCAGGGUGAGGCAGCAAAGUACCAGCACAGUAUUUCUGAAGUCCACUUAUGUGCGCGGAGCAGUCCUCCAGUGGAGAGAGGUUCCACCGUUUAUUAUCCGCUCACCAGCGGCUGGACGUCUGGGUCGUUUGCAGUCUGAAGCUACUACACGGCUAACGACAGCGCCUUGAAUGUUCCCGCAGACCUGUGAGGACGUGUAACUUCAUCGCCCUUGCGUACUUCGGAGGGGAAAGGCUGAGUCACUGUGCUGACCAGAGGGAAUGUCUUUGAGAUCCAUUCAGAGACGGUCUCCUCUGAUCUGACCCAGCUCCCUGUUUCUACAGAUGGGAGAGAGAACCACAGAGCCAGAGCUGGAGCCAGAAGGCAGGGCUCCUGCGCACACUCCACCGGACCACGCCACCUCCUCCCCGGGCCGAGCACACUCCUGCAAGUUUAUAAUUAACUCCCUCCCUAGGGUCACGAAAACCGGCCCCGUCUGAAGUAGGUCACAGGCAACCACGUCCCUCUCCACCGUGUCCCUGGUGGCAGCACCCCUCCUCGGCUGUGGCACAAAGCAAAUAUCUCAGCCACACUCAUUUCCCUUCUAAAAAGCUCUCGUGAUGCUUCUCAGACUUUUCCUUAAACACUCUGAAGAGAAAGCGAAGCAAGGGUUAAUUUCCUUCUUGGAUUAGUAGGGUCCUGAGGAACUCUCCUCUUUCGGGGAGGGUCUCCGAAUAGAUGCUGUCUUUCCUCAUGGUCACCAGACUAUAACCUCACUUAUUGAAGCCCACAGGCUUUAGGCUACGAGGAAGAUGAUAUGAUUUGUCACAAUAAUUUCUAUUUAUUUGCAAAUCAGUAUUUGAAUUACAUUUAAGAUGUCA